UGGGGAAUUUUGGACAAUGGGCGAAAGCCUGAUCCAGCAAUGCCGCGUGUGUGAAGAAGGCCUUCGGGUUGUAAAGCACUUUUGUCCGGAAAGAAAUGGCUCUGGUUAAUACCUGGGGUCGAUGACGGUACCGGAAGAAUAAGGACCGGCUAACUACGUGCCAGCAGCCGCGGUAAUACGUAGGGUCCAAGCGUUAAUCGGAAUUACUGGGCGUAAAGCGUGCGCAGGCGGUUGUGCAAGACCGAUGUGAAAUCCCCGAGCUUAACUAGGGAAUUGCAUUGGUGACUGCACGGCUAGAGUGUGUCAGAGGGGGGUAGAAUUCCACGUGUAGCAGUGAAAUGCGUAGAGAUGUGGAGGAAUACCGAUGGCGAAGGCAGCCCCCUGGGAUAACACUGACGCUCAUGCACGAAAGCGUGGGGAGCAAACAGG
rnacentral:rRNA from 1 species